AACGAACGCUGGCGGCGUGCCUAACACAUGCAAGUCGAACGGAGUUAUAGUUGUAGCAAUACAGGUAUAGCUUAGUGGCGGACGGGUGAGUAACACGUAGGUAACCUACCCUUAGGCGGGGGACAACUCAGGGAAACUUGAGCUAAUACCGCAUAAAUCCACGGGCUGGGAUGCUUGUGGGAAAAGUGGCAACACACCUAAGGACGGGCCUACGGCCUAUCAGGUAGUUGGUGGGGUAAGAGCCCACCAAGCCGAAGACGGGUAGCCGGGCUGAGAGGUUGGACGGCCACACUGGAACUGAGACACGGUCCAGACUCCUACGGGAGGCAGCAGUGGGGAAUCUUGCGCAAUGGGGGAAACCCUGACGCAGCGACGCCGCGUGGAGGAUGAAGGUCUUCGGGUUGUAAACUCCUUUUCUUGGGGAAAAUGAUGAUG
rnacentral:rRNA from 1 species